rnacentral:lncRNA from 1 species
ACAACUAAAAAUACAGAUAAAGUUGUAGAUUGUUUUAAAACCAAACAGAAUUUUUUGUUUGUUUUAGGACACUGCACUCCUUGCAGAGAAUCUCCAGCUGAAAAAAAAGAUCAUGUCAUUAGAGAAACGCCUAACACAGACUAUAUCAUGCAUGGACCGUAAUUGCUUUACUGUAUUUUGGAUUACGGUACAUUGCCGUCUAAAUACUUGCUCUGUAUGUGUGUAUGUGUCUACUGCAUCAUUUCUAUUUCAAAAUACAUAUAGCUAUGUAUUACGAAUAAAAAAUCGCCCCAUGGUGUUUUUUUAGAAAUGUUCAAUGCAGUACCAUUUGUAUAAUCGGCCUGGUGCUAAAUGUACUGUACUUUUGAUCACAUGUUCAAGCCUACCACACUCUAGUAAUAUUUUAAGCUGUUUAUCAUUUAAUAUCUGUAUGUUCUAUUUUCAAGGGUAACCCUAACCGGAAAUCUGAAAGUGCCGAAGACUGUUGUUAGCCUAUUGACAAAGACUAAUGUAAAUAAGUGUACCGCUGAUGCCUUGCUGUACUUUUUUACAAGAGUAGAAAUGGCAAACCACUUCCUGUCAAAAGCGAAAUCUAAUGCACACAAGGGAAGCAAUUUAAAACCAGCAUUAAAUAAAGAUGUGGUGACACCAUUAAUAAGUAAAGGCAUCUUCGCAACAAAAACAUUUGCCACAGGAUAAUUCAUACUUGAGUAUAAAGGCGAAUUAUUAAAGGAAGAUAAGGCAGAGAGAAGUGAAGAUCUUUUUGAGGGACAUAAACAGAUCUUCGCUUAAUUAUGCAUUGAUGCAACAUCUGAUACAAAAUCACUAGGUAGACUGGUCAAUGACAGGGGCACAUGGUAAUUGCAGAUUGGAAAAAGUAGUGAUACAAGAACAGGUGUAUUUGCAUGUUUGUUCGCUAUUAAAGACCUGAAAAUUGAUGAUGAAUUUUGGUAGGAUGAAAGUAUGUAUAGGGGUAGGAGAUUCUUUAUCCACGCUUUAAAAGCAGCAGGAAUUAAUGCCAUAGUUGGAUAUUCUGCAGGUGGGGAGAAAGAAUCAAGGGAACUAUUGAAAGGAGAAAGUGAAAGUGCAUCCGAGUGUUCAAAUUCUGAUAGUGAAUAUCAACCUACAAGCUCUGAUGGUGCUUUUAAUGAGAAAAUAGAUGAAGAACCAGAAAAUGCUGCACAAGAACUAGAUGGAAGUGGUGAAAGAAAAGAAAGUGAUGAUGAUUUUCAAGUGGACAGUGAUGUUGACAAAUAUGGAUUGAAUGUGAAAUGUAUGUUCAUUGUAGCAGAACGAAGACCAGUAAAGAGGGCAAGCUUGUUAGAGAUUAUGACAGCAGAAAUGCUUGUUUGUUUUGUGGCAAAUUACUUAAUUUGCAAGGCAUUAUUUGUCCAAUCAACUUACGGACAAAUAGGGGCAAUUAUGUACAUAAUCAGAAAGUAAAUCAAACAAAGCUGGUAGAAGUUGUCCUUCUCCGUAGACCCCAGACAAGCAAUUCUCCCAGAUGAUUAUGGUCCCUGUCCACAGUGCCUCAGGUAUGCAGGGGAGGAUCCAGAGAGGGGGUCCAUGACGUCCGGAUCCCCCUCAAUCUUUGAAGUGCCCCUUUUUUACCUGAUGAUAAAACGCAAACUACUGUAAAAAUAAAUAACUUAACACCAGAUGUCAAUGUAUUCCUUUCGUUGAAUAAUUGAUUAUUCAUCAUCAAUUUUUUUUAAAAAAUUUAAAUACUUAUGUUUUAAGUUAUAUAUUGACAUGUGGUGUUAAGUACGCACAAUAAGUGCAUUUUUUCCACUUCAAUGGCACGUAUGAGGCCACGUGCCGCGCGCUGGCUCUGAGAGUACAUGCGCGGUAUUUCUCUACUCUGGCGAUUUAAAACCACAUGAUGCAUGCACUCGCACACGGUUUGUAGACGGCCACUAGCUAUCUAUGCGAGAUGCCUAGAAAGGAGAGGCGAAAAAGGCUAAACCAGCAGGAUUUGGCAAGACAAGCUAAACGUUCUGUUAAACUAGAUAUCUUUUUCAAUCAUUUUUGAGCAACAAUACAAGCAACUGUUAUCCAGACUAUGCACUGUAUUAUUCCCCGGUGGGGUUUAGUAUGACAGGUGGUGUUUAGUAUGACCGGUGUAACACGAAAUUUAGUUCCCGGAGAAUUUUAUUAUUUUGUGGUCUGGAUAAUCAGAGCCUAUGGGACACAAAUUUGCAACACUUUCUUCUGGGGUAAACAAUUAUUAAAUAUGUCAUGUAUUUAUUAAACAACAUAAAGUAACGGAAGGUUAUACAAUCGAGCAUAUACCUUAUGUUGAACUUAACUUCACAGCUUAUUAUCCAGCAUAAACAAUCUGUAAAAAAUAUGUUAAAGCUAAUUUACGUUGAAAAAAUCCCAAGUCACUUUACAGCGAGAAAUAGUGAGCAUAAUGGGAAGGGUAGUUGAAACUUACUUUCCUUAAGACGGGAAUAGGUCAGGUAAACAAUAAUAAGGCGGGAAUAUAUUGGUGAUCAUAUUACGUCCGCAUAAGCAGUGUAAGAUAAAACUGUGUUGACAUUUACUGGCAGUUCGGCGGUGGUUCACUGGUUUUUAUCUUGAAUUUGCGUGUAGUGUAUGCUAUCAUACCGCUUCAUUUUUUGGGGGGGUUUUAGCUGAAUAGCCUGUACGACCGUUGUCACAACUAUUUCUUUUCACUUCUUUGGACCAUUAUCUAUUUAAUUAUUUAUUGAAGGAGGGUAUGUACAAAAAAAAAAAGUAACAUUCUUUUAAGACAUCUAAACAGCUUGUCGUACCACUGCUAAAACUUUUAAAAUGCCCUUAAUCUUACAGGCCUAUUUUUAUAAGUUUUACUGUCUGAUUCUCGCUUAUAAAAACAAACAACAAUGAUCAAUAAUCGGUUGAUUUAAAAUAAAGAAACUUAUUAUUAUUAACUUUUUUUUUUUCUUGGAAUCAACAUCAUUCAUUAUAGGGUCCUUUGUUUUAUUAUUAUUGUUAUUAUCAUUAUAUGUAGUGUAAUGGUUUCUUUAAUUGAUCGACCUAAUAUUACUAUCCUCAAUAAUUUAAUUGUUUUGAUCGAUCCUUAUAAUCGUUGAUGUUGGGCAACUCGGACAGCGUUGUAUGAUUGUUAUAUUUAUUUUUUUUAAAAUAAUGUUUGUAGGCCUAUUGAUAUUUAUUUAUUUUUUUAAAAUGUUUUUAGGCCUAUUGAUAAUAGGC